AAAAAGAUGAUGAGAACUAAGUAUUAUAUACAAGAAGAAAUAGAAGAAGCAAGAAAAAAAAAAAAAAAAAAAAAAAAAAAACUGAAACUUGAAAUAAGUGGCGAAAGAUAUUUCAAUUUUCUUUAUACAAAAUUUUUCUUUUUUCUUUUUCUUUUUUCUUUUAGAAGAUAUAAUCUUAAUUAUAUUUUAUAAAAUAAAUUAAAAAAAAAUAUAAUUGUAAAAUCUUCUUAACAAGAACAAAUAUAAAACAUUUGUAUUCCUAUUAUUAUUUCAUUAAUGAAAUAAUAAUUUACAAACUUGAUAAAAUAAAAAUAAUAAAAAAAUAAAAUAAAUCUUUACGAAUGUUAGAGAUAAUUUUUAUAUAUUUUAUUUUUUACCUAUUUAUCAAAACACCAAAAGGAAAAAAAAAAGAAAAGGAAUAUAUAUAUAUAUACAUAUUUGUCAAUUGGACAAAAUUGUUUGCCUCCUUUGACAAUAUGAAUUUUUUUUUUUUUCCUUUUUUGCUUCUUCUCAUUUCUAUUAUCAUGAUUGAAGAAUAGAAAAAAUCUUUGGUAAUCUGAUUUUUAAUGA